AGAGUUCGAUUCUGGCUCAGAUUGAACGCUGGCGGUAUGCUUAACACAUGCAAGUCGAACGGAAACGAAACUAGCUUGCUAGUAGGCGUCGAGUGGCGGACGGGUGAGUAACGCGUAGGAAUCUGCCUGAUAGUGGGGGAUAGCCCGAAGAAAUUCGGAUUAAUACCGCAUAAUCUAUUCGUAGUAAAGUGGGGGACUUUCGAGCCUCACGCUAUCAGAUGGGCCUGCGUAAGAUUAGCUUGUUGGUAGGGUAAAAGCCUACCAAGGCAACGAUCUUUAGCUGGUCUGAGAGGAUGAUCAGCCACAUCGGGACUGAGACACGGCCCGAACUCCUACGGGAGGCAGCAGUGGGGAAUAUUGGACAAUGGGGGCAACCCUGAUCCAGCAAUACCGCGUGUGUGAAGAAGGCCCGAGGGUUGUAAAGCACUUUCAAUUGUGAAGAAAAGUUAGCGGUUAAUAACCGUUGACCUUGACGUUAACUAUAGAAGAAGCACCGGCUAACUCCGUGCCAGCCGCCGCGGUAAUAC
rnacentral:rRNA from 1 species